AUUGAACGCUGGCGGCAGGCCUAACACAUGCAAGUCGAGCGGCAGCGGGGGAAAGCUUGCUUUCCCGCCGGCGAGCGGCGGACGGGUGAGUAAUGUCUGGGAAACUGCCUGAUGGAGGGGGAUAACUACUGGAAACGGUAGCUAAUACCGCAUAACGUCUUCGGACCAAAGUGGGGGACCGUAGGGCCUCAUGCCAUCAGAUGUGCCCAGAUGGGAUUAGCUAGUUGGUGGGGUAACGGCUCACCAAGGCGACGAUGCCUAGCUGGUCUGAGAGGAUGACCAGCCACACUGGAACUGAGACACGGUCCAGACUCCUACGGGAGGCAGCAGUGGGGAAUAUUGCACAAUGGGCGCAAGCCUGAUGCAGCCAUGCCGCGUGUAUGAAGAAGGCCUUCGGGUUGUAAAGUACUUUCAGCGGGGAGGAAGGUGUUGUGGUUAAUAACCACAGCAAUUGACGUUACCCGCAGAAGAAGCACCGGCUAACUCCGUGCCAGCCGCCGCGGUAACAC
rnacentral:rRNA from 1 species